UACGUAGGGGGCAAGCGUUGUCCGGAAUCAUUGGGCGUAAAGAGCGUGUAGGCGGCCCGGUAAGUCCGCUGUGAAAGUCCAGGGCUCAACCCUGGGAUGCCGGUGGAUACUGUCGGGCUCGAGUCCGGAAGAGGAGUGUGGAAUUCCUGGUGUAGCGGUGAAAUGCGCAGAUAUCAGGAGGAACACCGGUGGCGAAGGCGGUUCUCUGGGCCUGUACUGACGCUGAGGAACGAAAGCGUGGGGAGCGAACAGG
rnacentral:rRNA from 1 species